UGUGCUAUCUUGGACUUCAGAAGAGUUACAAGCAAUGGAAUAUUGCCCACUGAGCCUUUGCUGACUGUUCUCUCAUUGCCACGAAGGAUAAAGGAUCACAGUUUGUCUUUUGUGUGAGAGGGCCUGAACUCCCAACAUCUCCAAGAGUGCAGGCAACUGGUUUGCUUGAUGUGUCCAGAGAAAGAGAGAGAGAGAAGAAAAAGUCUCCAUGUCUCAUGCUG